AGACACCCUUCUGGGGCAAGACUUGCUUCAGUGGGGCUUUGGUGCUCACUGAGUCUUCCCCCUAAGUGUGUUCCU
rnacentral:pre_miRNA from 1 species